rnacentral:rRNA from 1 species
UACGUAGGGCGCAAGCGUUAUCCGGAAUUAUUGGGCGUAAAGAGCUCGUAGGCGGUUUGUCGCGUCUGCCGUGAAAGUCCGGGGCUCAACUCCGGAUCUGCGGUGGGUACGGGCAGACUAGAAUGAUGUAGGGGAGACUGGAAUUCCUGGUGUAGCGGUGAAAUGCGCAGAUAUCAGGAGGAACACCGAUGGCGAAGGCAGGUCUCUGGGCAUUAACUGACGCUGAGGAGCGAAAGCAUGGGGAGCGAACAGG